GGCAACUUGGCCGAGUGGUCUAAGGCGACGCACUCAAGGACUAGUUAUCCCGUAUAACUUCCUUCUCUUUCCUCAGAAAGAGCUGUAUUGCGUUCUCGAGAGGGGCGUGAGUUCGAAUCUCACAGUUGUCA